UCUCAGAGCUUCAGAUUCAACUAAUUUAUAAUAGCUCCACUUAAUAGAUGUGACUGAUAAUGAAACUAUUGUGCAAUCUUCCAAAUAGGAAGUAUUGAUGACAAUUUGAAAUGUUUCAAUGUUGUAGACCCAUGAUUAAAACUUACUAGAUUUUUUUUUCUAAAGAACCACACAAUCUUUGAGCAAGAAAGAGUAAAGUUCAGCUUCUUGUUUAAAUUUUGCAUUUGGCAAUGAAUGUGCCCUGCACAAAUCAUGCUAAAACCUAUAGAACUAAUUCGAAUCAACGUAGUAUGAAAAUUGAGGACUUAGUGUAGUCUUCAGUGGCAUUCUGUACUGAGUUAUGGUAGUAUAUGCUUUCAACACUUAUCAUGCGUAGCCAAAGUAUUGCAGUUGUUCUUAGUGCAAUUAUACCAUUUUUCUAUUCUGGGAUUUUUUUUAUUUUUUUGAGCUACACACAUUUAAUAAUGGUCUGAAUUGAGGUUCACAAAUUCUUUUGCCAUGGAAAUGUGUGAAGUGCCAAAUCUUUCAGGAUGGAAUUGUGCAGAGGGACAGCUCUAGGUACACAAGCCACGUUGAUCCCUCUCAGCCCUAUUUUCAGGGUUUAAGUGAGAUUUAAGUAGUGCUUUGGCUGAUCCUCUGCAAAAGAGGUUGAUUUCACUCUGAAGGAACAUGCCCUCUAUGCUGUAAUUUGCUUUUGUAUAUUACCUCAGAAUAUUACUGAUCCACUGUAUGUGGAAAAGGAUGUUUUAAGACAUAGGAUUGACUAAUAAUAAAAAUAAAACCAAGUAGUUAGUUAUUAAUGAUCAUUCAUGUUAAAUUGAAAAAAGGAAAUUGGAGUGCCAUUUGAAUUGUAUGUAUUCAUUUGUUAAAAUUUGAAUUAAUAAAACAGGAGCCUCUAGUAGCUGUUUGGAGGUAAGUUUGCAGUUCUGCAUGUAGUGGUGCCUGAUAUGAAACUACUAAUUAUCAACAUUGUCGUUUCUUUCUGCUCCUUACCUUUUUCCUCUAGUGUAAUCCUUUUAUAUGCUUCUUGCAAUAAGAUUAUGACUAAUCUUGUUUAGCUCCUCAUCAAGUCAAAAAAGUACAAACACUUGCAUUAAUGAGGAUGACAUCUACGGUAUCAGUGUCACGUAUCAACAAGUAUCUGUACACACAUUAUCUGUCCUAGAACCACUGUCAUACAUAAUUUGUUCCGAAUACGAGCAUCCUGCACAAUAUUCAAAUAUACAAUUUAUACUAUACUUCUCCAACAUGUACAGGAUGGCUGUAAUUCAGUGGCAUUGGAGUGCCUGUUCCUUCGUAAGAAAUGUAAACAUUUUAAGUUUGUUACCAUAUUGUCAUUAACUAGCAGUAUUUGUUAAAUUAAACUCCCAAAGAAUCCACUGAUGGCUACAACUUUACACUUCUCAAAGUUAUUCACAAUUCCAUGGUCAAAUUCUUGUCAUUGCAUUUUGUUAACUUUUCAGAAUACGUGGAAACAUACUUCCCAGAGAAAACUCAUCUCCCUGCCUUCUCAUCUCCGGAACAUUAUGCUUUGCCAACACUUACUUAUAAUUUUUAGUUUAUUCUUGUGACAUUUAAAAUCUUACUGAUAUACUUUGAGAAUCAAAAAAGGCUUAAAUUGCUAAAUGUAGUCCCCCCCCCCCCAAAAAAAAACAAAAACCAACAAAAAACUCACCUUUCAGUUUGUCCUCUGCUGUUCUCCUUUGGUGUGCAUUCAUUAAUCUGCAAACAGGAUAGUAAAUCAAAAGUCAAAUUUUUAGAGUUCCUCUAUAGAGAGCAUAAGGUGCAGAACAAUAUUCAUACAUAAUUGGGAUAAUGAAAGUGAGAUUGCUGUUACAAACAAACACUGUAGGUAUACGGCAGUGGCCAAUAUUGAGGCGGACUCACUUUAUCAAUCUUUUAUAUUUUUAAUCAGUAUUUUAAUAUAAAUUCAAAAUACUGUUUAUCAGUUUGAAUCAUUAGUAAGAAUAUAUUGUCUAAAUAAACUGCUCAGUCCACCACCUCCUAAACUACUACUGACAUCUUUUUCAAUACAAUUAAACUGACUGUUAUAGGGUAUAAAUGAAAAUUAAGGAAGGAUUAUUCUGGGGGGGGUGUGUGUGUGAAUAUUUUUAUUACACACACACACACACACACACACACACACACACACACACACACACACACACACA